AGUGAACGCUGGCGGCAGGACUAACACAUGCAAGUCGAGCGAGCGGCGGACGGGUGAGUAAUGUCUGGGAAACUGCCUGAUGGAGGGGGAUAACUACUGGAAACGGUAGCUACUACCGCAUACCAUCAGCUGUGCCCAGAUGGGAUUAGCUAGUUGGUGGGGGAAAGGCCUACCAAUGCGACGAUCCGAAACUGGUCUGAGAGGAUGAUCAUUCACAAUGGAACUGAGACACGGUCCAGACUCCUACGGGAGGCAGCAGUGGGUAAUAUUGGACAAUGGGCGAAAGCCUGAUCCAGCCAUGCCGCGUGUGUGAAGAAGGUCUUCGGAUUGUAAAGCACUUUAAGUUGGGAGGCGUUACCAACAGAAUAAGCACCGGCUAACUUCGUGCCAGCAGCCGCGGUAAUUC
rnacentral:rRNA from 1 species